rnacentral:rRNA from 1 species
CGUGUAGGCGGAAAACUAAGUCGAUUGUUAAAGACCCUAGCUUACCUGGGGAUAUGCGGUCGAAACUGGUUAUCUAGAGGGCAAGAGAGAGAAGUGGAAUUCUCGGAGUAGCGGUAAAAUGCGUAGAUCUCGAGAGGAACACCAAUUGCGAAGGCAGCUUCUUGGCUUGUACCUGACGCUGAGGCGCGAAAGCGUGGGGAGCAAACAGGAUUAGAUACCCUGGUAGUC